rnacentral:lncRNA from 1 species
CAUUUGAACGUGUAGCUAAUUAUGAAGUUAUGUUAACCAACGACUUUGGUAAAAGUUACAGUUUUCUUUUUGUGUCUACCUUUUAUUAUCUAACUUACCAUUUUUGUUAAUUAAUAAAGCAAUAUUUUUUUCAUUGCAGGAUGUUGGGUGGGUGAACCAGUUUUGGUUAGGGCACUAUGGAUACUAUAGAUUAUAGGCACUAUAGAUUCUAUGUAGAGCCUUAUUUUGGUCGGUGCGCGGCGCGUUCUCUCGCUGAACAGACCAUAGAUAAGUUUUAUAUACAACAUUUUAUUGGUAGUUAUGGGUAUUGGUUAUUACUACCUAUUUUCCUAGGUCUCUUGGAUGUCAUUAUAAAUGGUUUCUGCUGUACUUUUUUUUUAGAGCAGGUUUAAUUUGAAUAACAAUGGUUGUUUGUUUCAGAACAAUAAUACCAAAAGUAUGUGGAACAAUUUUGCGGCGGGCGCCAUGGCCGGCGCCGUCGCAAAAACAACAAUCGCCCCGAUAGAUAAAAUAAAAAUACAUUUUCAAAAAAAUACGGAUUUGAUAAUGUUUUUGCCAACCGAACAUGUGGAUCAAUGGCGGGUAUGAUGGGUCAAACAUCGUCAUACCCCCUUGACACCAUAAGGAGAAGAAUGCAAACAUCCAUCAUUACGGGCGAAAACUAUCAGAACUUUUGGACGACGUGUUCAAAAUGUAUAAGCGUUCAAAAAAACGUUGAAAGAAGAAGGAAUAAAUGGCUUGUAUAAAGGCUAUGACCCACAAUAUUGGGCAUUGUCCCAUAUGUGGGUACAAGCUUUUAUACAUACAGUUAUAUAAAGACAUAUAUGAAAGGUAAAUAUUCGUAAAAAGCAUAGUUGAUAAAACCAUUUUUAUUUUUUAAUAUCUAUAUUUCAUGACACAGAAAAGCACGGAUACGAUAAUAUUAUAAUAAACCUUACUAGGGGGUCAAUGGUGGGUAUGAUAGGUCGAACAAUAUCAUACCCCCUUGACACCAUUAGAAGGAAAAUACAAACAUCCAACAUUACAGGCCAAAACUAUAGAAGCUUUUGGGCGACUUGUUCGACAAUUUAUAAAGACCAUCGUUGGAAGAAAUGAGAAAUGCAUUGAAUAAUAUACUGGAGAUCGUCCGAACACUUAGAGAACUUAAUACAAUAUACUGAGAAUAUAGGUGGUGGUGGGGUGGCCGGGAUGAACCAGCCCCGCCAACAAGAAACGUUA